GCAUUGAUGGUUCAGUGGUAAAAUUCUUGCCCUCCAUGCUGGAGACCCAGGUUUGAUUCCUGGCCAGAGCA
rnacentral:tRNA from 1 species